UAUGCGGGCCGGACGGUCGCGUGGGGCUUGCCCCCAUGAGGAAAGUCCGGGCUUCCAGAGGCGGGAUGCCGGCUAACGGCCGGGCGGGGAAACCCGACGGAAAGUGCUGAAGAAAAGGAAACUCCCACUGGCCGCGCAAGCGGUUAAGAGAAAAGCUGAGAAGGUGCGGUAAGAGCGCACCAGCAUGCCGGCAACGGCAUGGCUUGGUAAACCCCAUCCGAAGCAAGGGCAAAUAGGCACGCGAUACGGUUCAGCCUCUCCGUGCGUGCGGGUAGCCUGCUAGAGGUGCAUGGUGACAUGUACUCAAGAUAAAUGGCCGUCUUCAAAGACAGAACCCGGCUUACAGGCCCGCUAAGGCA
rfam:Slackia heliotrinireducens DSM 20476, complete genome.